rnacentral:tRNA from 1 species
UGGGGUGUGGCUCAAGGGUGGAGCACUUGCUUAACAUGCAUGAAGCCCUGGGUUCAAGCCCCAGUACCAAAA